GGCAAUGGCGGAGCUUGGCGAGGCAAACGAAGCGGAGCUGCAGCGCCUGGUGGUGGCCGAACAACAGAAGGCGCAGUUCGCUGCACAGGUGCAUCACUUCAUGGAGCUAUGCUGGGAUAAAUGUGUGGAGAAGCCAGGCAAUCGCCUAGACUCUCGCACGGAAAACUGCCUCUCUAGCUGUGUGGACCGCUUCAUUGACACUACUCUUGCCAUCGCCAGUCGGUUUGCCCAGAUUGUACAGAAAGGAGGACAGUAGACCAAUGCCUGGGACAGUAACAGAAGCAACAAAAGACUACUAUAAAGCAGAUUCAAGGUCCACUGGGGGAAGAAUCGCCAAUCCAUUGUCAGGUUAGCAUCA